UGACUGGAUUUGGGUGUAACAAACCAUGGUCUAAUAUUAGGCCUCAACAACAUUGCCUCCUCCAUCUGCAGUCAAGGAAUUUUCACCAUGUUUUUUUCCUAAAGAUUAACUAAAAUUUAUAUAAAUUUGGAUACAGCUAAACUUUGGAUAAGCACAGGCUGCUGCUGUUAAUAGAAAUAAAUGCUCUUUAUAGUCUCUGUAGAUCAUACAUAUGGGAUCUGCAUAUAGGUAGAGAUUAAACUUGUAUCAUUUUAAUGCUGAGCAGACGUGAUAGAAAUCUGCCCAUCUCAGCAUACUUGUAAAAUAUCAUGGUUGCUACUCAAUUACUUUUCAACUACAGUUACUGUACUUAGCAACAUAAAAAUUUUCUGUCUCUUGUGUUUUUUGUAUUGAUCCUAAUUUCAUUUUCUUUAUAUUGCCUCAUGAGUUCUUAUUGUGUCUGCUUCUAGGUGGGCUUACAAUCUCAAAGUAGCUGUUUCUUUAACUGCUCAGAUUCUGAAAAUAAAUUAGCCUGGGACAUUUCUCUAAGAG